rnacentral:rRNA from 1 species
AUGAAGUCCGCAAGGCUUGACUCCAUCAACAUCGUCCGCCUGCUGCUCGUCGUCGCCAUCCUCUGCGCCGUGAACAUUGGGGUAGUCCAGGGCGGCAGAAGGUUUUGGCGGCGGCCUCCAUCUCCACAAGGGCGCCCGGCCGCCCACGGGGUUUGCCCGAGAUGCGGUGGAUACGUGUACACCACCGCCUCCACCGCUGUCGACGAAAGGAAGAACUCUGCCUCCACUACACCAUUCUCCGACCUACGCCACUAG